UGAGCAGGCAGGAGCUGGGGGGCUGUGUCUGCGGCCUUGGGGGCAGGGACCCCCUGGGGCUGGCCGGAGGGCGAGCAGGCGACGUGGACAGGCAGGGGUUAAAUUCUCAUCCCACAGAAAUAAGAAUGUCUAAGCCACUGGAGCUGGAGAAGGCACGAGUGGAGCCACAUGGGGAGCACACAGACACAGAACGAAACGGUCCCGACGCAAACCACCAGACCCGCAGAGCAAGCCAGCCCCAUUCUCCCCGGCCCCUGGCCCAGCGCCGAAG